GAAAAUUUAUUACUUGUUAGAAGAGUUUAGUCUAUUUGAGGGUAAGAAAAAGAAUUUUGUAGGUGGUUAAUUAAGUAAAGUUUAAUGAAAUGAGUGGAUAAAGUAGCUAUAGUGCAAAAGUACUGUAAAGGAAAGUAGGGUAUAAUCGGAAAUAGUAGAAGUCAAGAUUCGUACCUUGUGUAUCAGGGAAUUUCUAUAUAAUUCUAUAUUUGUUAGUAGUCCCGAAACAAAAACAGCUAACUUUAUAAAUAAGUCUUUGUUAAAUAUAAGUUUUUAAUAUAAAGUUAAAGAUGAAAUGUCAGACGAUUUUUGUUAUAUCUGGUUUUCUGAGACAAAAAUUCAAUUUUACUUUUGUGAGUAUUAAGCACAAAAAGUAAUUAUAGGAGGGAAUAGCUUCUUAUAACUAGCAGAGUAAAGAGUUGUACCAUUUAUAUUGAUUUUAAAUUAGGCUUAAAAGUAGCUAAAUUUAUAAAGUGUUUUAACUAAUCGAGAAAAUAAAUAUUAUUUAAAGAUAACAACUUUUAUCGGAUAUUAGAAAACCAUCUUCAAUAAAGCCGGUUGGGAUAGAAUGAUUUUAUUAGUAAAAUUUUAAUGUCAAGAAGAGUAAUUAAAUAAUGAUUUUUAUUUAUUAAUAUAAUAAAAUUAUACAGGAACUCGGCAAAUAAUUUCUUCGCCUGUUUAUCAAAAACAUGUCUGUCUGAAGAUAUAGACAGUCUAGCCUGCCCACUGAUAAAUAUUAAAUGGCCGCAGUAUUCUGACUGUGCAAAGGUAGCAUAAUCGUUAGUUUCUUAAUUGGGAUCUUGUAUGAAUGGUUGGAUGAAAGAAAAACUGUCUCUGUAAUUAAAAUCGAAGUUAACUUUUAAGUGAAAAGGCUUAAAUAUAUUAAAGGGACGAUAAGACCCUAUAAAGCUUUACAUAAUCAAAUAUUAAGUUGGAUUAGAGAAUUAUAAAAAUUUAGUGUAAAAAUUAUGUUUCAUUGGGGCGAUGAGAGUAAAAUGAAUAGUAACUGCUUUAACUUAAGCCAUUGAUAGAUGAAUAAAGUGAGAUUUAAUGAUCCUAGAUAAAGAUUUAAAGAUUAAGUUACUUUAGGGAUAACAGCGUCAUUUUUUUUGAGAGUUCUUAUCGAAAAAAAAGUUUGCGACCUCGAUGUUGAAUUAAAAUUUCUUUAUAAUUGUAGGUGUUAUAAGAGAAGGUCUGUUCGACCUUUAAAAUUUUACAUGAUUUGAGUUCAGACCGGCGUGAGCCAGGUCGGUUUCUAUCUUUUAAUACAUUAAUAAACUGCUUUAGUACGAAAGGAUUAAGUAGUUAAAAUUAUUUUUAGAUU
rnacentral:rRNA from 1 species